UUACUGUUGUUGAAAAAAAAUAUCCCAAAUUUAUUUUCAUUUCUUUUUCAAUUUCAAAUUACGUCCAAAUUCGGCCAUACGGGCAAACGGCCAAAAGCUACAUUCUUUUUAAGAGGACAGGUUGUUUUUAUAUGGUCAAAUAUCUAGGAUGGAAGUGUUUAUCACUAUCGCCAAACUAAAGUUGUAAAUGGUGUAAAAUAAAUACCAGUGCUUUACUGUACCUUCUACUCUAAAUUGCAUCACUAGCUAGUACCAUCAGCCUGGAUGCUAAUAUCACCACUUACAAGCACUGGCUUAGUCCUUUCAUUUGGCAUUUACUUAACCACACACACUAGCAUUACAAAAAGUUAGUAGCACCAUAAUAUAGCCAUACUAGUUUAGCACUUUGUUUGAAUAAUUACUUAGUAGUAUCACAUGAAGCAAAUAUUGCUACCUGUUAGUAUCACACAAAGUUUACACUAUCAUAUAUGGUACUAGUAUCAAAGGAAACUAGUACCAAUACACGAACAUCACAGGAAGCAAGUACCACCACAUGUUAGCAUCAAAGGAAGCUAGUGGUACCAUACUAGCAUCACAGGAAGCUAGUAGCACCAUACUAGCAUCACAGGAAGCUAGUGGUACCAUACUAGCAUCACAGGAAGCUAGUAGCAUCAUACUAGCAUCACAGGAAGCUAGUGGUACCAUACUAGCAUCACAGGAAGCUAGAAGUACCAUACUAGCAUCACAGGAAGCUAGUGGUACCAUACUAGCAUCACAGGAAGCUAGUGGUACCAUACUAGCAUCACAGGAAGCUAGUGGCACCAUACUAGCAUCACAGGAAGCUAGUAGCAUCAUACUAGCAUCACAGGAAGCUAGUAGCAUCAUACUAGCAUCACAGGAAGCUAGAAGUACCAUACUAGCAUCACAGGAAGCUAGAAGUACCAUACUAGCAUCACAGGAAGCUAGAAGUACCAUACUAGCAUCACAGGAAGCUAGAAGUACCAUACUAGCAUCACAGGAAGCUAUACCACCGUACACUAGUAAACUAUCCAGAGUGGUAUUUCUGUAAUUUCGUUGGCGUGAAGUUUUCCGUGUUGUGUAUGGCUAAAGCCAUUGUAAUUUCCUGAUAUAGUACACUUGUGGUUUUGUGCAGGAAUGUGUUCCCAGGACCUUGUGUUUAGUAAGCAAACUGCUUAGUAUUAUAAUUUUGUCAAGAUCUUAUGGGAUAAAAAUUGAAUGUAUAACAGAACCAAAAAUGCUAUUACAUAAAUUGUGUACAAUAAAAUUUUAGGAUUUAUUUAUAAUAAAAAUAUGAAGUCAAUGUAACAUUUUUACUCUCAAAUUUUAAGGUCUUUUAACACAACAGUGCAAAAUAUAAUUUUAUUUUGGCAUAAACAAGUAAUUUAUUUGUUGUGUAAUGAUUGAAGUUAAAUGUCUGUCCUCCAUUCCGCAAAAUUAGUUCUUAAAUUUGAGAAUCAAUAUCUUAAGUAUUUAAUGCAAAUUUGUAGAAGACCUGGAUGAAGCACGGAAUUGACUGAAUGGCAUCAUUACACAGACUUUAGUAAAAACUGAUCACUGACCUUACUAAAGUUCUCAAAUACUGUCUAUAUAAAGUUCCCGACCACAACACCUGAAAAUUAUUGCACUACUAAAAUAAUGAUUUAAUAAGAAUUAGCACUGUAUUUCAAUUGAUUGAUUUUUAGUUUACUGUACUGUACUUUGAAAAUUUUAUUUUUAAAACACGUCAGAUGAGCACAGUUACCACCAUGUUGGUGGUAACUUUACGAAUUAAGCAGAUAAGUGUUAUAAGUUGAAAACAGCUGAGCAUUACCGAUUUGUUUUGCUAAUUCUUCAUUAUUUUGGCCCCGACUGUCCUGUGAUCAGAAAAAUCAGUUUAGCAGCUGGAUGUUAUCUCAUAUCUCCAUAUGUAUAGUAGGAAAGUCAUUGCUGUUUAAUCUUUGUAGUGUUUUGUCUUUUUAGUUUAGCUAUUUAAGCCAUUCAACUACGUAUUCUCAGGUACAGUAGUUGAACAUUAAAUGAAGCGUGUCGACUAAAAUCUAGGUUCGUUCCGAUUUCCUUGGUUAGCAUUGUGUUGAUCUAUGUCAACUUUGAAACUAUACAUUGUUUUGGGUAAUUUCAUUCUUUGUGAAACAAAUUUUAAUAUGUACCUUACCUUGAGGUUACCUUGAGGUGCUUCCGGGGCUUAGCGUCCCCGCGGCCCGAUCGUCGACCAGGCCUCCUGGUUGCCGGACUGAUCAACCAGGCUGUUGGACGCGGCUGCUCGCAGCCUGACGUAUGAGUCACAGCCUGGUUGAUCAUGUAUAUUGCACAUCAGGUUCACAGUGCUAAGUAGCGUGUUAAAGUGACCCGAAAGUUAUGUAAAGUUUCAGAGGAAAAAAAUGUUGAUCAGUUGCAUUUUCUAAGUUAUGCAGGAAAUUCUAGAAGUUUACUUAAUGUAGGAUGUUACGUACUUACCUGAGUGCAUUUACAAAUGGAGUUCCUUUUACUUUAUAGUUUGCAAGCCAACAGCAAUGAAUUUUAUUUUCUUAUGCAAAAAAAAUGUUAGUGUGUAAUCAAGAUUAAAAUAAAUGUUUAUGUAAUUGCUUUAAGUGUAAAAAUGAUAAUAUUGUUGCUGAUGAGGCACUGUUAAGUCACUUAUGGAAUACAAGUGUAACCAUG